UACGGAGGGUGCAAGCGUUAUCCGGAUUUACUGGGUUUAAAGGGUGCGUAGGUGGGUCUGUAAGUCAGUGGUGAAAUCUCCGAGCUUAACUCGGAAACUGCCAUUGAUACUAUAGGUCUUGAAUUAUCUGGAGAGCGGAAUAUGAUUCAUGUAGCGGUGAAAUGCUUAGAUAUGACAUAGAACACCAAUUGCGAAGCAGCUUACUAGGAUGAAUUGACACUGAGGCACGAAAGCGUGGGGAUCAAACAGG
rnacentral:rRNA from 1 species